rnacentral:rRNA from 1 species
AGUAACGGCGAGUGAAGCGGCAACAGCUCAAAUUUGAAAUCUGGCCUCUUGGGGUCCGAGUUGUAAUUUGUAGAGGAUGUUUCGGGUACCGCCUCGGUUUAAAUUUCUUGGAACAGAAUGUCAAAGAGGGUGAGAAUCCCGUCUUGGACCGGCGGUAGGGCCUAUGUGAAACUCCUUCGACGAGUCGAGUUGUUUGGGAAUGCAGCUCAAAAUGGGUGGUAAAUUUCAUCUAAAGCUAAAUAUUGGCCAGAGACCGAUAGCGCACAAGUAGAGUGAUCGAAAGAUGAAAAGCACUUUGAAAAGAGAGUUAAACAGUAUGUGAAAUUGUUGAAAGGGAAGCGCUUGCAACCAGACUUGAGCGCGGCGGUUCCCCCUUGCUUCUGCUUGGGUUACUCCGCCGUGUCCAGGCCAACAUCGGUUCUGGGGGUCGGUCAAAGGCUCUGGGAAUGUAUCUACCCACGGGUAGACUUAUAGACCAGGGUGUCAUGCGACCUCCCGGGACCGAGGAACGCCGCUUCGGCUCGGAUGUUGGCGUAAUGGUUGUCAGCGACCCGUC